AAUAAGCGGAGGAAAAGAAACCAACAGGGAUUGCCCCAGUAACGGCGAGUGAAGCGGCAACAGCUCAAAUUUGAAAUCUGGCUUCGGCCCGAGUUGUAAUUUGCAGAGGAAGCUUUAGGCGCGGCACCAUCUGAGUCCCCUGGAACGGGGCGCCACAGAGGGUGAGAGCCCCGUAUAGAUGGACGCCUAGCCUGUGUAAAGCUCCUUCGACGAGUCGAGUAGUUUGGGAAUGCUGCUCAAAAUGGGAGGUAAAUUUCUUCUAAAGCUAAAUACCGGCCAGAGACCGAUAGCGCACAAGUAGAGUGAUCGAAAGAUGAAAAGCACUUUGAAAAGAGGGUUAAAUAGCACGUGAAAUUGUUGAAAGGGAAGCGCUUGUGACCAGACUUGCGCCGGGCGGAUCAUCCGGUGUUCUCACCGGUGCACUCCGCCCGGCUCAGGCCAGCAUCGGUUCUCGUGGGGGGAUAAAGGCACCGGGAACGUAGCUCCUCCGGGAGUGUUAUAGCCCGGGGCGUAAUGCCCUCGCGGGGACCGAGGACCGCGCAUCUGCAAGGAUGCUGGCGUAAUGGUCAUCAGCGACCCGUCUUGAAACACGGACCAAGGAGUCAAGGUUUUGCGCGAGUGUUUGGGUGUAAAACCCGCACGCGUAAUGAAAGUGAACGUAGGUGAGAGCUUCGGCGCAUCAUCGACCGAUCCUGAUGUUUUCGGAUGGAUUUGAGUAGGAGCGUUAAGCCUUGGACCCGAAAGAUGGUGAACUAUGCUUGGAUAGGGUGAAGCCAGAGGAAACUCUGGUGGAGGCUCGCAGCGGUUCUGACGUGCAAAUCGAUCGUCAAAUCUGAGCAUGGGGGCGAAAGACUAAUCGAACCAUCUUGUAGCUGGUA
rnacentral:rRNA from 1 species